rnacentral:rRNA from 1 species
GAGACCCACGCCAACAGUUGCCAGCUCGUCCUCCGGGAUGGUGGGGACACUGUUGGGACCGCCUCUGCUAAAGAGGAGGAAGGAAUGGGCAACGGUAGGUCAGCAUGCCCCGAAUUAUCCGGGCUACACGCGGGCUACAAUGGGUGGGACAAUGGGUAUCGACACCGAAAGGUGAAGGCAAUCUCCUAAACCCAUCCUUAGUUCGGAUUGUGGGCUGCAACUCGCCCACAUGAAGCUGGAAUCUGUAGUAAUCGUGUCUCAACGUGGCACGGUGAAUAU